GGGAUGCUGUGAAUUUUGUGGGGAUUGUUGCCUCUGACCAGAUUCCAGCUUGAGGAUUUUUCUUUUCAAAUGUUGAAUUUCUUUCCUGCUGGUCAGAUUUUGGAUCAGAUUUGGAACAAUUUCUAGUGUUGUUUGAUGCAUCAUAGUCCAUUAGAGGUAUGUGUCCAUUAGAGGAUUUGACACAUACAGAAUUUAGAACUUUUCUAUAAUGUCAUACCUGUAGUAGAAUUGUUAUGAGGUGAUGUCGGACAGAUGGUUGGAAAUGUUCUACUUGGGACUGGUGGAGCAGUUAUGAGAGAGAGUUUUUCUAAUUAUCUAAGGAAGUUAUUUUAUUUGAGUUUGAUCAGAAUUCCAAUCAAGUAUUUAAUAAUACGGAUAGUGGUGUUUUCGGUUGUGAGAAUUACAUUGGUAUAUGGAUUAAGAAUAUCAAUUGGGGCAACAGAGAUCAACGAGAACGACAUGGAUUCAACCAGAUUUUAGAUCUAUGACUAUUAAAGAAGUGUAGCUUCGGCUAAGAACAACUUGAGUGUGAUGCAUCUUCUUCCGGAUAUGAUUCAUUGAGCUGGAGUAGAGUUAGUAGUUAUAAUUCUUGCUUGCACUGGAUUUUUGAGGAUGUGGUACAAGACAUGGUAGUUAAGCGAGUACUAACUUGUGAGAAUUAUUAGCAGUUUUGAUCGGAGGCAUUUGUAAAUAGUAAAUUUCUUGUGACACAUUUGAUUUAGAAAAGUUUUUCCACAUUAUCGUAUUUAUAAAAGUUUUUGAGUGAGGUGUUAUAUGUGUGGCCAGUAAGGUAGCUAUCAAAUGAGUUUUCUUAGUCGGCUCGGAACGUCAUCUCAAAGCUGGACUAAUGAUUUUAGUCAGAUAUCAGAGUAGCGCAGUGGAAGUGUAGUGGCCCCAUAAUCUACUUGGUUAAGAACUUAUAGGUUCGUUUGAGGUCGACCUUUGUAUGUUUGACAACUAUGGGACCUUUACGUGAACGACAUUCGAUUAGGAACUUAAGCACAAACAAGGAAGUGCUGUCUUGUGGUAGCUAAGGAAGUGAUGUGUUUUGGAAUUGUUGAUUAGCAGUGACCAUCUUGUGGCAUGGUUAUCACAAUGUUGUUGGUAAAUGGGUUGGAUUUUCACUAAGCGACUUUUGUGAGAAGGUUAUGAAUGCUAUAAUUUUAACAGGGUGAUUUGUGACGUUAAUACCAUGUGUUAUCUGAGCUAACCAUUGAAAUGAAUUUUCUUUUACACCGGAAUUCAUGUACUUGCGAGUUUAUGGUGCUACAUGGUUUAACAAGACAAGUGAAUCGACUUUGGACGUUGAUAAUUUUGGAUUAUAGGCAUGUCUUCAUUGCUUUUGUAGUGGGGAUCAUAACAGUUUUUGUGGUUGUUGAUUUGAGGUCGCGAAAGGGAAAGCUUAAUCUAAGUUAGAGUUGGUAAGUUUUGAGAUUGUGGUAUUUUGAAGCAAUUGAUGUGCUAUUUCUUUCUAACCAGCAUGAAAUUUCGAGGGCGAAAUUUUUAUAAGGAGGGGAGAAUGUAACAUCCCGUAUCUUAAUUCACCGGUUUACUAGUCAUUUGGACAGUAAACGACUAUUUGAUUUACUUUUACUCUUUUUCGGUAACUUUAGUGGCCCUAAAAGUUGACUUUUUGUUCGGGUCAAAAUUUGAGAAAAUAUUCUUCAUGAAAGUUGUAGAGGACGUUAAACCGAGCGCGUGCAUAUGUGGUACGUAAAAAUCGGAGUUCAUAUGUGAAAGUUAUAAGCGAAAUACUAAAGUUACUGUUCAUAUAGUAAGUUUCUAUAAAUAGCCGAGUUACUGUGGUAAGUUUCCAUUUUCGGAAACUUACCGAGCCUCUCCCCGAUUCUCUCUUCCUCUCCGACCUCUUCACCUUCUUCCGGCCAUAACUCCUCCAUCCGGCGACGGAUUUUGACGUGUAAGAUGUCGUUGGAAAGCUCUCUUCCUUCUCUUCAUUUCUGGGUUCGUUUCGUAGCUUAAUAUGAACUGUGGAAGGUGCAGCAACGAGAAGAAGAGGACGGUCACUGUAGCAGUUUUGAGUCAACGCCGAUAUUUUCCGAUUCCGGCAGUCUCCGGCCACCAAAUUGGCGUCGAAGGGUUCUUGGAAUUUCUGGAAAUUUUUCACCGGCCAAAUUGGAGCUCUUCCAGGGCAAUGCCGCGAGCUACAGUUAAAUGAAGGAACUCGUUUGCGUGGUCGCCCAAUAGUACUUUUGCAGGCGAAAUUAGUUGAGGUCGGGCGUACAUGGAGUCGAGGCAUAGCCAACAGCAUUGCAUCCGCGUACUCAUUCUAUUUUUGUUUUCUUUGUUACCUAGUGGAUUAGUAUUGCUCUGAUAACCUAUGGGAUUAAUAUUGUUUUUGGGUUGAGACUGAUAUUUGUGAAAUUGGAGUUGUGAUUUGGGAGCAGAUGGCUCCAGAAGAUUAAGGAUUGAUGAUUUAGAA